ACUGCUCCUAAUCCCCAUCGCGGUGAGAUUGCCCAAACUCCGGGCUCCCAGACCCUCGAUGGCGACGGAUUCAGCAACCUCCCCAGCCCCAAAACAAAUAUGGCACAACUUACGUGUUCUCGACUAGAAGGCCGAAACCGCGCGGCGAGGCCUAUUUAUAUGCCGCGCAUCUCGCGAGAACUACUUCCUCGAGCGAUACAUACAUGUUUCUCCGCCCCGCCCUUAACUAGAGCUAAUGCGCAGCCGUAAGAGGCUUGUUAUGUGUUAUGUUGGAGGAGGUAGCCCCGGAUCGAGCAUGAUUAAAAACUCAGGUUUAUAAAAGUUAGGACGGGAGGAAGGAAGUUGCAGUUUCGCAGGCGCAAGGCCCCAUCUGCAUUGGCAUGCCACUGGUUUCUGAAGAUGCACCUUUUUACACACAACUGUUCCCUUCAUCUCACAACCCAAGGCUCCUGUUUUAAUUGCUUUGUUUUAAUGGAAUUGUGUGGUUUUUGCAUAUUUUAAUUAUGAAUGUUUUAUAUGUUAAUGUUGGGGGUUAUAAGUUCUUAUACUUGUACAAUGCUUAGGGUCCUAUUUUGGCUGCCUGCAGCAGAAUCUUAGAUGUCCAUACACGUUGCACUUCAAAAGAAGAUGGUUGCUGUGUGGUCAACAAUUGCCAGCAGCGAUGGUGGCAGGCUUCAAAGUGAAGAAAAUUAGCCAUUUCUUGUUCACAAAGUCAUUUUUGACUGACCCUGCUUGGAGUGAUGUUGGAAUAUGUAUGUGCUUUUUUGUUUGCCUAGAGAGUGAAAAUGUUAGUUUGGGGCAUAUAGUAUGCUGGCUUUAGGUCAUGAGACAGAUAUAAUAAACAUUGUUUUUUAUACAUA